rnacentral:lncRNA from 1 species
AUGAAAGAAACGCAGAGCGAAGGGUCCUUGGCCCAAACACAGGAUGGCAUGACCCAGCCAGGCACUUGGCUUUCUGGAAGGACCCUGUGCCCUUGCCGCCUGGCAGGUUCGACCAUCUGGUGGCCAUCGAGCUCCCGGGAAGGGCUGUGCGUGGCAAUUACUACAAUGCGGGAGAUGAAGAUCCAGCCCUUGGUGGACCCUGUGGGUAAUCCUUUCAGAUCACAGAGGAUUCCUGGAAUCUCGUCGAGGUCCUACGCCUCUCAAGGACUCUGUAAAGUGAGGACAACAGGGCCCUGGACAGGACACCCUGGGAGCAAACACGAUGAACUGCAUGGAUGCCGAACAGCAGAGACAGAUGUAGACAAGACACAGAGGCCAGGGGCAGGUGGUAUUCCUUCAUUCAAUGGGCUGUCAUGGAUCUAGAAAACUGUUCGGAGAAAAAUCCUCAGGGUGCAAACCAAAGGCAUCCGGUCACUCACGCUCAUUCUGAGAUAGGGGAGCUCCCGCUGUGGCUCAGCAGAAACGAACCUGACUAGUAUCCAUGAGGAUGUGGGUUUGAUCCCUGGCCUCAUUCAGUGGUUUAAGGAUGCGGCGUUGCUGAGAUCUGCAGUGUACGUUGCUGAUGAGGUUUGGAUCCCGUGGUGCUGUGGCUAUAGUGUAGACCAGCAGGUCUCUGAUGCCCAAGGAGAGUCAGCUCCAGGCCAUUUUCUACCAUCACAUGACGAAUGCUCGCCUCUGGCGUAAUUCUUCCAUAUGUUUGUAGAAACAGAUACCAAAACAGUCAUACGCCCACGCGGCAGGCUCAGAAGGCCUGGCCUUCUGUUCUUGAGGCACUUGGACAGGCCCUUGGUGAAUGGUUUUCUUGAGGCAGCUGCAGCCACCUUCCAGAAGUGGGUUCAGCUGACUUCUAGUCUACAGAAUCCUCCAGAAAUACCUGGACACAGGACCAAAUGGUGUUCUGAGAGCAUCACUGCCAAGGGUACACGAUGCCAGGCUUGUUAGAUUUUUUUCAUCUUGUUUCUGCAAAGGUGGAGUUGCCUGGUAAUUAUUUUUAGCCAAUUCACCUUUUUUUUUUUUUUUUGAUAGGCAAGAAAUAGAUUUAUUAAGAUAGGACACCUGUGAGAGAUGCAAGCCAGCAGGCAUGGAAGCUCUGCCCCGAGGAUUAGGUGGGCUACAGUUUUAUGGGGUUUUUUGGUCUUUUUUGUCCUUUUAGAGCCACACCCUUGGCAUGUGGAGGUUCCCAGGCUAGGGGUCUAAUCGGAGCUAUAGCUGCUGGCCUACACCACAGCCACAGCAACACCAGAUCUGAGCCACAUCCGUGACCUACACCACAGCUCAUGGCAACGUUGGAUCCUCAACCCACUGAGCAAGGCCAGAAAUCGAACCCGCAACCUCAUGGUUCCUAGUCAGAUUCAUUUCCUCU